CCGUAAACCAUUCCACCACACACUCAGCGAUGGAUGUUCGGUGAGGCGACCACAACUGUCGCGACGAGGGCAGCGGCAGCUGCGCAUGCGGACGGCAGCGGCGGAGGUGAGAAGUGACAGCGGUUAGAGUGCACUUUGUAGCUGAUUUCGGGGGAAAAGAGUAAUUACGAUGCGAAGAAGACGACCAUGGCCGUCGAGGUCGUCGUUCCCCUCAAAUCAAAUCAAACAACAGACUGAUCAUGUAGAAGAAACACAAUGUUGAUGACGAUGAUGAAGAAUUGAAGAAUAAAAUGCGUAAUGCGAUCGAUGCAAAAAUGAUGGUUAAAAAGCCCAAGCUAGAAGGAAAUAUGGGCCUAUAAUCGGGUCUGUUGGACUGAUCAAGGGGUGUUUCCAAAAAAUCGGGUGAAAAAAGAUGUAUUUCUGAAGAAAUUACAGGUCGGAAGGGCCGCAGGUCGGAAGGUCCGCUGGUCGGAAGGUCCGCAGAUCGGAAGGUCCGCUGGUCGGAAAGUCCUCAGGACGGAAGGUCUGCAGGUCGAAAGGUCCGCAGGUCGGAAGGUCCGUUGGUCGGAAAGUCCUCAGGUCGGAAGGUCCGCAGGUCGGAAGGUCCGCUUGUCGGAAAGUCUGCAAGUCGGACAAUCUAUAAGUCGGAUGGUCUGUAGGUCGGUUGGUCUGUGGGUCGGAUGGCUUGCAAGUCGGAAGGUUUGCGGCUGGAUCAACAAGUCGAGUGGUCUGCAAGUCGGGAGGUUUGCGGCUGAACCAAUAAGUCGAAAGGUCUGCGGUUGGUCCAAAAAGUCGGAAGGUCUGCGGUUGGAUAGGCGAGUCGGUUGUUGUGGAGGUCGGAUACUGUUGAGAGCGAGUGAAAGUAAUAGUGUGGUCGACUGAGGGCACGUGUCAGCGGAAGAAGAGUUAGCAGACGGUUGAAAAAGAGGCGUUGUAACCGUUCGGGCGACGGUUUCUAGUACCGUUUCUGAAGAGUAUUUAAGGAUUGGGAUUUGCAACUGACAGUGUAUCUUCAAUCAUCUUCAAUCGACAACAAGCUGCUACCCAAAAAUGCGCACUGGGUAAACUCCCGUCCGAACCUAAUACCCUGCAAAUCAAGCCCGACGGAAAAAGUGCGCACUGGGUAAACUCCCGGCCGAACCUAAUACCCUGCAAACUAGGCCCGACGGGAAAAGUGCGCACUGUGUAAACUCCCGGCCGAACCUAAUACCCUGCAAAUCAAGCCCGACGAAAAAGACACAUUAGGCGAACCAUGUGUGGCAUUGUUUCCGUCAGGGAAUUAGACAGCGCUACCGGGAAUGAAGUCUUCUAGAAAAUUGCUAAAUAUAUAAAUUAACAAAUUAAAUUAUUUUUAAAUUGCAAUUAACAUUAAAUAAUUUUUCAUUGUUCUGUUAUAUUGAUUUGUUG